rnacentral:piRNA from 1 species
GCACAGAUUGGAUGAGAGUAGGCCC